UUCCUCUCAUUGUAUACUGUUCUGAAUUGAAUAAAAUGGAGAUGUUAUGGCAUAAUAGACUAGGACACAUGCCUUUUGUUAGAAUGAAAGACAGUCCUCAUAUUCCAUGCAAGUUUGCAAAUAAACAACCUUUCAUAUGUACUGUUUGCCCAUUAGCCAGGAAAUCUAGACUUCCUUUCCAUGACAGUUCCAUUAAGACAACACAUGCCUUUCAACUCAUUCAUGUAGAUACAUGAGGUUCUUAUGCCACUCCCACUCAUAAUGGAUGUAAAUAUUUCCUAACAAUAGUUGAUGAUUUUACUAGAGCUACUUGGACUCACCUUAUGGGGUCCAAGAGCAAUGCCUUUCCCCUUAUCAAAGCUUUCAUUGCCAUGAAGAGCUACUUGGACUCACCUUAUGGGGUCCAAGAGCAAUGCCUUUCCCCUUAUCAAAACUUUCAUUGCCAUGAUAAAAACUCAAUUCCAAACUGUUGUACAAACAAUUAGAAGUGACAAUGCUUUUGAACUUGGGUCCAGUGGUUCUGGCAGCAGCUUCUUUGCUGAAAAUGGAAUAAUACACCAAACCUCCUGUUCUUACACACCACAACAAAAUGGUGUGGUUGAAAGAAAAUACAGACAUCUGCUAGAAACCUCCAGAGCCUUACUUUUUCAUUCCCAACUACCCCUUAGAUUCUGGGGUGAUUGUUUGCUUACUGCAACCUAUCUCAUAAAUAGAUUUACUUCCAAACUACUUAAAAAUAUAUCACCUUUUGAAUUGCUUUUUGGACAAGUUCCUUCUUAUAGCCAUCUUAAAACAUUUGGUUGUCUUUGUUUUGCUUUAGUCCCCAAACAGAAUAGGGAUAAAUUUCAGCCCAGAGCUGAUCCUUAUGUUUUUCUGGGAUAUCCAUUGUGUAAAAAGGGAUACAAGCUGUACAACUUGAAGACUAAGCUUACCAUAGUCUCUAGGGAUGUGGUCUUCCAUGAGGAUGUAUUCCCUUUUGCUCCUUCAGGGAAUGCUUUUCCUGUUCCUUCUCCUACUCUUAAUCCAUCUCCUGUUUGGCUUCCUCCUACUGAUGACUCCUUGCUCAAUACUUCCUCACCUUCCUCCAAUUCUGCACCCCUUGCU
rnacentral:lncRNA from 1 species